GAAAAUACAAAAGCACUACUGUUUAACAGGAAAGUUACUAUCCAGAAAUUAACCCACAAAGGUGGGAAGAGUAUUUACCCGCUAAUCUCUUUAUUCCCUCGCCUGACAAAAUAUCUGCAUUCCUGGGCGGCCUCAAGAAAUGAACUACAGACAUCUAUUCCCUUUGUGAUACCUCCUUGGAAUCAAAGUGUGGAGUGUAACAAUGUGCCUCCACACACUCACACUAGUUGAUGCUUCAUCUUGGUGAAAUCAAGUUUUUGGAAUUACCUUUCCUAAGAUCAUUCUAUUCACAGAGAAGGAGCUUAAUGUAAGUGAAAUUUUGUAAAAACCAAAGGAAACUAUGGUGGAUGUAUUCUAGACAGAAGAAGGAUUAAACCAAGAUAAAAACAAUGUGAAUGAGGAAAGUGGGAGUAACAGGGAUUCCAAGAGAAAGAUUUUCCAUUUGUCAAAAAUGAGGAGUACUAAUCAGUAGUGCUAUGGAAACAAGACACUAACAGUUAUAGUCCGGAAGAAGAGAUGAUAACAUCUGUCCCUAAAAAGAGAAAUAUGUCUUAACCUUAAAGAAUCAAGGACUCCAGGGAUCUUUAAGUUCUGGUAGUGAGGAGAGUCAAAAAGGUAUAUCUCACCAAAGAGCCAGUGAAAAGAUGCUGUGAGAAUGGGUAGCCAUCGAAAGCAAUUCUGUUCAUCAGACAAGAGUUCUUGCUAUUUACACCACAUCUGCAGUGACUUCCUCCACUGAAGUAUUGAACCUUUAAAGUCAUCCAUGAAGGUUGAAAUCAACUUCUUCCAAACUCCUCAUAGGAUUGAUAUUUUGACCUCCUCCCAUAAACGACAAAUUUUCUGAAUGUCAUCUAAAAUGGCAAUUUUUUUCCAGAAGGUUUUCAACUUUGCCCAGAUCCAUUAGAGGAAUCACUGUAGCAGUUAUAUCCUUAAUAAAUGUAUUUGUAAAAUAAUAAUACUUGAAAGUCAAAAUUACUCCUUAACUGUGGGCUACAGGAUAGAUGUUGUGUUAGCAGUCAUGAAAAAAACAUUAAUCUCCUUGAACAUCUUCAUCAGAGCUCUUGGGUAACCAGGUGCAUUGUCAGUGACCAGGAAUAUUUUGAAAGGAAUUUCAAAAGGUCUCAACAGUAAGGCUUAAAAUAUUCAAUAAACCAUACUGUAAACAGAUGUGUUGUCAUCUAGGCUUUGUUAUUUCAUUUCUAGAACAAAUGCAGAGUAUAUUUAGCAUAAUUCUUAAGGACCCCAGUAUUUUCAGAAGGGCUAAUGUGUAUCGUCUUCAUCUUAAAGCCACCAACUGUAUUAGCUCCUAAAAAGAGAGUCAGCCUGUUCUUUGAAGCUUUGAAGCUAGGCAUUGACUUCUUCUCUCUAGCUACAAAAGUUCUAGAGGGCAUCUUCUUCCAAUAGAAGGCAUUUUGGUCUACAUUAGAAAUCUGUUGUUUAGUGUAGCCAUGUUCAUCAAUUAUCUUAGGCAGGAGAACUUCAGCUGGAGAACUUGCUGUAGCUUCUUGCACUUGCUUCACUUGCACUUUUAGGUUGGAGACGGUUUUAUAAAGAUAAUUUAUUUUCUUAAAUCCCAUGAAUCAACACCUACUAGCUUUAAACUUUUCUCUUCAGCUUCCUCACCACUCUCAGACUUCAUAGAAUUGAAGAGGUUAAGGCCUUGUUCUGGAUUAAGCUUUGGCUUAAGGAAAUGUUGUGGCUGAUUUGAUCAUUUUUAUUCAGACCACUCAAAAUUUCUCCAUUAAGCCAUAGGCUGUUUUGCUUUCUUAUAAUUUGUGUGUUCACUGGAGUCACACUUUUAUUUUUUAGAGACAAGUUCUUGCUCUAUUGCCCAGGCUGCAGUGCAGUGACACAAUCAUAGCUCACUGCAACCUUGAACUCCUGGGCUCAAGUGAUCCUCCUGCCUCAGCCUCCCAGGUAGCUGGGACUAUAGACAUGCACCACCAUACUUGGCUUAUUUUUUUUAAAUAAGUCUUCACUAUGUUGCCCAGGCUGGUCUUGAACUCCUGGUCUCAAGGAAUUUCCCCACCUUAGCCUCCCAAAACUCUAGGAUUACAGGCAUAAGCCACCACACCUGUCCUGGAGUAGCACUUUUAAUUUCCAUCAAGAACUUUUCCCUUGCAUCCACAACUUGGCUACUUGUUGCAAGAGGCCUAGCUUUCAGCCUAUCCUGACUUUCAACAUGCCUUCCUCACUAAGCUUAGUCAUUUCUAGCUUUUGAUUUAAAGUGAGAGCCAUGUGGCUCUUCCUUUCACUUGAACACUUCGAGUCCAUUGUAGAGCUAUUAAUUGCCCUAAUUUUUUUAUUGUUGUUUUAAUAUUUGCUACUACCACCAAGAUCUGCGCCUGCAGUGGCUCCACCCAGGCCCAUGUUCUAUUAAGGGACAUUGCAAUGGCCCUUCUACUCAUCUUGGCAUAGUGUCUUUAGGCUUGGGAGAUCUGAGCACUGCUCUGUCCUUCCUGCUCUAGUCCCUCUACUAGCAAUGGCUGCAUAUUGGCUCAACUCCUCAGCACCAUCCAUUUUCAGGGACAGUUGAGUAGUCAGUUGAGUUGUUAUACACUCCUUAGUGGAUUCUGACUUCCAUGGUCACUGUACUGUUGUAUAAUCAACUAUCCUAAUUUCAACAUUGUUGUGUCUCAGGGAAUAGGGAGGCCUGAAGUUAAGGAGAGACAUGGAGCAAUGAUCAAUCAGUUGAGCAAUCAAAACACACACAACAAUUAUCAAUGAAGUUUACUGUCUUAUAUGGGCAUGUUUUCUGGUGCCACAAAACAAUUACAAUAGUAACAUCAAAGGUCACUGAUCACAAAUCACCGUAACAGAUAUAAUAAUAGUGGAAGUUUGAAAUAUUGCAAGAAUUACCAAAAUGUGUCACAAAGACCUGAUGGACUUGCUAGAGGCAAGGCUGCCAAAAACUUUCAAUUUGUUAAAUAUGCAAAAUCUGCAUGGUAAAAUAAAGCAUAGCACAAUAAAAAGAAAUAUGCAUGUAUACACUAUUUAUAAUGUAUAUCCCUACAUAUAAUAUAUAUCAAUAUAUAAUAAAUGUACGUAUUGUUACAUAUUUGCAAAUAUAUAUGGUGAAAUAUAUCCAUGAGUUGCCAAAUCUGUUUUCACAACAUUAUGAACCUUCAAAAACAUGCCCAGCAAGGAGUCAUGAUGGCUGUGCAUACCCACGAACAGGGUUGAUUAGAAACAACUGUUUCAUUUACACAACACUGGGUCAUAUGACAAAUAAAUAACAGCAACCUGCCUAUUUUUAAAAUUUUGACAUCUUGCUUCUCAUGAAUUUUUUUAAUUUUUGAUUUUUUAAAUUCAUUGCCUUAACUAUUAUUUAGCCUGAUUACUGAGUUUUUGGCACCACUUUUAAAAAAAUAACUCAUUUAUUUUGAAAUGAUUUUCAUUGUAUAUAUUUAUGGGGUACAACAUGACUUUUUCAUAUAUGUAUACAUAAUGGAACAAUUAAUCAAAGUAAAUAACAUAUCUUCACCUCAUAAACAUCUUUUCUGUGGUUAGAACAUUUAAAAUCUACUUUCUUAGCACUUUUCAAGUAUGUAGCACAUUAUUAUUAACUAUAGUCACUCUGCUGUAUAACAAAAUAAAUGUCCAGAACUUAAUCAUCUUGUUUAACUGAAUCUUUCUAUAUUUUGACAAACAUCUGUCCUUGUUCCCAGCCUAUGAAAAGAAUACCCUACUCUUUUGAGUUCAACUUUUUCAGAUUCUACAUAAAAGUGAGAUCAUACAGUAUUUUUUUCUGUGCCUAGCUUAUUUUACUUAGCAUAAUAUCCUGCAGAUACAUCCAUAGUAUCUCAAAUAGCAAGAUACCCUUUUUUCUAAGGCUGAAUCUUAUUCCAUUGUGUGUAUCCGUCCCAUUUUCUUUAUCCAUUCAUCCAUCAAGAGAUAUUAUUUUAUUGUCAUAUCUUGGCUAUGAAUAAUAGUUCGCUAUUAAGAAUAAUGCUGCAAUGAACAUGAGGCUGUAGAUACCUCUGUGACAUAACUGAUUUCAUUUCCUUUGGAUAUACACACAGAAGUGGAAUUGCUGGAUUAUGUGGUAGUUUUAUUUUUAAUUUUUGAGAAACCUCCAUACUACUUUUCAUAAUGGCUAUACUAAUUUACAUUCCCACAAACAGUGUGCAAGGGUUCCCUUUUCUCUACAUAUUUGCCAAUAUUUGUCUUUUGUAUUUUAAUAAAUGCUAUUCUCACAGGUGUGAAGUGAUAGCUCAUUCACACCUGUGAAUUUGCAUUCCCCUGAUGAUUAGUGAUGUGAAAUAUUUUUUUUUUUGUAUACUUAUUGGCCUUUUGAUUCUCUUCUUUUGAAAAAUAUUUAUUAAAGUUCUGUGCCCAUUUUUUAAUCAGUUUGUUUGUUUUCUUGCAUAGAGUUGAGUUCCUUAUAUAUUUUUUAAAUUAACCCUUUAUCAAAUAUAUUGUUGGUAUAGUUUGAAUAUUUGUCCCCACCCAAAUUUCAUGUUGAAAUGUAAUCCCAGUGUUGGAGUUGGACCCUGGUAGCAGGUGUUUGGAUCAUUGGGGAGGAUCCCUCAUGAAUGGCUUGGGCCGUCUCUUUGGUGAUAAGUGAGUUCUGGCUCUGAGUUCACAUAAGAUCUGGUCAUUUACAACUGUACAACAGCUCCUGGCUACUCUUUCUCUCACUUGCCACUGCCGUAUGGUGUUCCUACUCCCCCUUUGCCUUCCACCAUGAUUGUAAGCUUCCUGAAGCCUCCCCAGAGGCUGAGCAGAUACCAGCACCAGGCUUCCUGUAAAGCCUGCAGAACUGUGAGCCAAUUAAAUCCUUUUUCUUUAUAAAUUACCCAGUCUCAGACAUUUCUUUAGAUCAAUGUGAGUGAGCUAAUACAAUGGUUUACAAAUACUUUCUCUUGUUAAACAGGUUGUCUCAUGAAUAGCUUGUUGAAUGUUUCCUUUGGUGUGCAGAAGCUCUUUAGUUUGAUGUAAUCCCAUUGCUUUAUUUUUCCUUUUGCUGUCUGUGCUUUUGUGAUAAUAUUCAAUAAAUCUUUGCUAAUACCAAUAUCAUGGAGCUUUUCCUCUAGUUUUUG
rnacentral:lncRNA from 1 species